GCCGACAUAGCUCAGUCGGUAGAGCAACGGUUUCGUAAACCGUAGGUCGCCGGUUCAAGUCCGGCUGUCGGCU
rfam:Deltaproteobacteria bacterium 13_1_40CM_3_69_14 13_1_40cm_3_scaffold_2433, whole genome shotgun sequence.